GAUCAUGGCUCAGGAUGAACGCUGGCGGCGUGCUUAACACAUGCAAGUCGAACGAAGCAUUUAGAACGGAUUACUUCGGUUUGAAGUUCUUUAUGACUGAGUGGCGGACGGGUGAGUAACGCGUGGGUAACCUGCCUUGUACUGGGGGAUAGCAGCUGGAAACGGCUGGUAAUACCGCAUAAGCGCACAAUGUUGCAUGACAUAGUGUAGAAAACGUCGGUGGUAUAAGAGUCGGACCCGCG
rnacentral:rRNA from 1 species